UGGAGAUCCUGCUUUCUGGAGGUUUUGGCAAGCUCUGAUCCUUGGGACAGAAAAAUGGCAAAGUGAGCUUUCAACAGGUCACUGUGUAGCAGCAUUGGCCAUGCUAGGAAGUGUAGAGAGGCAUCCUAAGACCUAAAAGCAAAGAUAUCUGUGGCAUGUAGUAGAAACAGCAGCCCAUGGCUCUCUGGAGUAUCCAGAGCUUGUACUGUGAGAGAUGGACCAUGGAUGCUCAGCAUACUCAGGAAUUGCCUCAGUAGCACCUGAAAGAGAACCUUGAUGCAUGUGAGAAGGAGUUUACAAUGCUGUGAGCUGAGACCUCCCUUUAACUCUCUUAAGGUGUGAUGCAGGUAUUGAGCAUGGCAUAGCCCUCCAUUGACCUGCACUUCUGUGAUUUAUACCAAUGGGAGAGCAAGUCUCAAACAUAGCAACAGUCUGGUUGGCGCUCUGGGAUGUUCCUAUCUAAUCUAGAUCUCAUGCACUCUGCAAGAAGCCCCAAAGGAGUCUGAUUCAUGUUAAAUUUCUGCCAAUCUUUUUUGAAGUCGACAUUUUCUAGUCCUGGAGGUGGUGGCUGCUGGAGGAAUCAGUCUUCUCGCAGCCCCAGAGAUUUCCAGCUGAACCAAUGCCAUUUGCUUGCUGUUCUGCAGUCACUUUGCCAUGCGUGUGCCCUAAUUUUCCGUCCUCUAGGUCUGGCACCACUAAUCUGCCUGCAAAUGGCCCAGAGCACAAAGACCACCUCCUUUCUGUGCUCCUGCCUGCUCUCCUGUUGGAAGAAAAUGUGUGGAAGAAGUUCUUCUGUGCCUCAUUCCCCAGAGAAAUAACCUGAAAGAAGGACUGCCCCUCAGAUCUAUUCAGGCCCUGUGCUAAAGCUCAGGAUAGGGAUCACUGAUGUAAAUUUCAAUGGAAAAAUAUGAUUUAUUGACUCAACAGCAAUUAUAAAGAGACUUUAUUUAUUCAUCCAUCCAUUUAUUUAUUCUACAACUUUGUCAGCAUCUGCAAACUUUUUCACUUGACCUGUCUUUGGUCUUCUGACCUGAAAACCACUGUGCUACCCUGAAAAAUAUCACUGGCCUUCCUUAACUGGUUGCCAGUGUAACCAUGUCUAACAGGCAUGCAUCUGGGAGAAGCUGCAGCAAGAUGUGUGGUGCCUGGUAAGACCCUGGGAGAAAACAGUGACUGCUGAGUGACCUUUCAUGGUAUGGGAGAGGAGCAGCAAAAGGGGAGCAGUUAGGUGCAGAAUUAGGACCUCACUUUGCUGCUUGUGUUGGAGAUAAAUUUGUUCCAUUGUGGUGUUAUGUGCCAAUGAGCAGUGUCAUCAGAGCCCUCAAGAGUCUGGAAAAUGCUGAAUGGAGAAUGGAGCUGGAGGUCUUUUCAAUCCAGAGUGUUGUCUCGGUCUGCCCAGAGGGCACUGUCUUAAAUGGCUGGGAAAAAACACAAUUCCAGGAUGGUCCUCACCACCCAUGAAAAAGGAACAGGUGGGAAAUAUUGGAUUUAGAUGCUCAUGCAAGUAGAGGUACAAAGAAGUGAGGCAUAACCUCUAUAGCAAAUCUGUCUGAACUUCUUCUAAGGAUAAAAGAAGAAUAAAUGAAGAGGCAAAGAUGAAAGUGGUGCUAUUUAGAUGUGGACUGGAACUGUGAAAAAUGUUUGUCCCUGAGGCAAAUCCAGGACUAAGCUCUCAUUCAGGGUUUGAUGGUAAUUCCCACCAGCAGGUCUGUGUAGGUACCCACCAGCUUGGAAGAUGCACAAUCUGGUUCAGAACAGCCAAGUCUUUUACAUGCAUUUUCCAAGUAAAGGAUUAAUACUUUUCAGGAAAAAGAUGGAUCCAAGGUUACAAUCCCACCACCCACAGCUGUGUUAAUGUAGCUUAUAGAUCAGAGGGAGGUUGUGGUCAGACCACAUCUUUUUUUUCCAAUGUAACUUUUGGAUGCAGAACUGGAAAACUUAGUGCCUGUAAACUUCUCUGAUCACUGAAAUUAACUGGAAAAAUCAGACAUAAAUGCAUGGUGAAACCCCUAUCAUCCAAAACCACUGAAACUUUAAGUUGUCCUUGUCUCCUGUGAGGAAAUCUCAGUUUUGAGACAAUUUCCUAGAUUUUAGCAUUUGUUUCCCUUGUUUUUUAAAUAAAAAUCAAAUAUAGUUAAUAUGACAGCCUAGUGACUAAACAUAUUUAGUUCCUAUUGAAAAGGAAAUGGGUUAUGGCUCUGCAUGCAGGCAAUGUAUCAUUUCUUCAAAAAAAAAAAAAAAACCACAGCAAAUCUAACUGCAACAAAUGAUUAUUUCUUUUAACAGAAAUAUUUUCUUUGGCUAAUCCACUUCUUCAGCCUGCACUGCCCAAAUUGUUUUUCUGAGAGGACUAGUAUAUGAUACAGAUCAGAUAGGAUGCUUUAUUUUGCACCAAGUAAUUGAAUUAAUUGGUACAGCCAAUGAUCAAUGUUAAUUAAAAAAAAAAACUACAAAGGCUUUGCAUUCCAAAGCUUUCCAAGAGAAUAUUUGAGUUGUGAAGCCAUUUUAAUCAUCUAGUUUAACCCUUCCAUCUGCAGUUCUGUCAGGGAAAAAAAAAAAUCUUUUCCUACACUUGCAUGCACUAAAUAGCCCUAUUAAUUUUAACUGGUACUAUCAUGGGACUAAGGAAAGAAAAGAAGUGCAGUUCACUAGCAUUUCUCCUCAGCUGAAAUGACAGAGAAUGGAUCAUGACAGAAAUGCUCAUUAUAACCUAAUGGACAUUUUCAUGUGAUGCUACAAAGACACAUUGAAUUGAGAGGCCUUCUAGAAGAACACAAGGGAUGAGUCCUUCCUCUUGUCAGACCUUCUGGCCUACCUUCCCUUGUGCCAUGCAUUUAUCACAUUAUUAGGGCUUUCUGUGAUGUUCUGUUGCACAGAAGCUAACUUAUGGGACAAGAAUCCCAAAUGUGUAUUCUGGACAGAACAGAUUUCCUCCAUAACUCUGAAGUUAUCAAUUUGGCAAAUUGGCAAUUAAGUGUGCUACUGUUUUGAUAGCCUCAAGAAAGAUACGGUGCUUGUCCUGAGAAACUUGGAAACAUCAUGGUUUGAACAGCUGUUUAACAUGGGCACUUUUGAAUUGCUCACUUCCUCCUGCUACAAUAACCUUUCUUGCUAGCAUAAUCUAUUGACUAUAACAUUGUCGGAAGUGAGCACAUUCAGUGGGAAGCCAGGGAUGCAUCCAUCUUCUGUCAGUAGGAGCUGCUGUAGCAUUGUGCAUGUCCCUGCAGACACUUGGAUUAAUGGUUUGACCUGAUUCCAAACACAAGAAAGUGUUUGUGGCAGAGGCUUCGUCACAAAAGACUGCCAAACUAUUCUGCCAGACAGCAAUAAACUCAAUUUACAUUAUAACUUAACACUUCCUUACCCCUCAUCCUCCUGCCAAGUAUGACAACAUAACAUGCAGGAGCCUGCGGCACCGUGUAGGAAAAAAAAAAGUAACAUUUUCAAGCAGAAAAUUCCUGUGAAAGACCGACUCAUUCACUCAGCUGCUGGAAACUUCUGGAAAGCACUGCUAAUGAUGUCCUUUCCCCAGAAACCACCUUCUGCCUGGCUCAGGGUAUGUGCAGAAGGAGCUGGGCAAAAUUACUGUGCUGUGUUCUUUCAGUGUUUCCCUUGUAUCAAGAUUUAAGAUUACACGAACCUCAGCCUGUUUAAGAAGAGCAGAGGAAUUUCAGUGAAUCAGUAGAUUUUCCUCUUCAGUGCUGUAGGUAUGCACUAAUGUUCAGAGCUCCAAAUCACUGCAAACAAUUCUGCUGCUUGUUUUGUUAUCAAUGUUUAGAUCUGACUUAACCACCACUUCAGAAUAUUUCUGAGCUCUUGAGAAUAUUUUGCUCAGUUCCUGAAGAGUAAAGCCAACAGUCCCCAUUAAGGAAGCACAACAGAUGUCCAGAGGACACAGUGAAGAGCAGUUCAUGGAAUCAGUUCAAUUGCUGCUGGAAUUCUGCUGUCUCCACCAGUUGCUCUGCUGCAAUGACCUCCAAACUCUGCUAAGGGCAUUAAAAACACCAGAGCCAACUCUACUCAAAAGAUAUUUAACAUGAAGGGAAACAGGUUUGAACGGAAUGAAAAGCAGAGCAUCAGCAAAUUGCAGCAAAGCACAAAAUCUGCCUGUGUUUCCAGAAUAAUGAAUGUAUUCUGACUACAUCAGCUGUGUGUAUCCCUGCAGUAGCCAGCCAUAUCCAAUAUAUUUAAUGUAUACAGCCAUAUUUUGUCUUCAGCAACAGACUCAUGCUGUAAUCUCUGCCUUAAAACCCUAGUAUUUGCUAACAAAACAGAUUAUCUCUAAACAGUUGUGAUGGAGCUCCUCUUGUUUUUUGUUUUUCUGGUACUGGUAAUUUUGCCUAUGUGUACAUGGAUUCUUAUAUGUCUUCUCGCUCUUUCUGUCCCUAUUUUGGCACCUAACACUGAAGACCCAUUGAUUUUUCUGCCCCUACAGAGGUGGAAGGAAAGGCCUGGAGGUUGCAGUACUCAUUAUCGUCAAAGGAAGAAUUCCUUGUUAAUAGGACUUUCUAGAAAGUAGCUCACUUGUUUAUGGACAGCUCAAAGGACAAGCAGAAAGAACACAGAGCUGUCUGGUUGUGCAUGUAGACAUAUCAUAGCAUUUUGCAGGUGAUGGUGCAAAUGCUACUUUAACUUUGCAAGCAGUUUGGAAUGAGAAGUAUGCUGUGCAAUCAGGCUUUUAUAUUAUGAUGAGCAGGUACAGAAAACAGUGUGAUUUCGCAAUGAGAAAAUGGUGGGCACAAGCUUUCUGAGCCAGAAGUGAAAACAAAAAGCAUUCCUAUGUGUGUAAUCUGGAAUGACACCCAUCAGUUUAACUCCAACAGGGAAAUACGAUGGUCUCUUGGGGGUCUGGAACUGUCUUGUAAUAACCCACCCCUCCCUUAGUCGUGGUGAUUUGCUUUCCUUUGUGACACAUAGAUGCAGUUUUAUCAAGCACUGACACUCAGUGACAGAGUGGAGAUGUUCAUUUGGCAAUUCCUGCCUCAAAACCAGUGUAGUCAUCACCAUAAGCUAACUCAAAACCAUCGUAGUGAGGAGAGAGGUCAGUGGUCCAGAUGAGCUCCUGCUGUUAGCAAGCACAUCAAAAGCACGAGGCCCAGUGCAGAAGACUGCUUUCCUUUCCUGCCCUUAGAGGCUCAUGGUCCAUGGUCUGUUGUCCAUGUUGGACCUAUGUGGAUUUGUGGGAUUUAUUUUCAGCUGCUUGUGAGGCAGGCUGCUGUCGUUAAGUACAAGAGCUGCUUUCUGAAGGAAUCUACAAGGCAAAUAUCUUUUGUCUCCCUUGUUCUGGUAACAAAGGCAACAUAAAUUACUGGGAAGGCUGAAAUGAAAAUCAAGAAUGAAAAUAAUUAAACCCCUCUUCUACCAACCAUGCUGGGCCUGGCUUUCUGCUCUAACAUUAUACAGUUAGAGCCAGCAGGAGCAGAGCUGUCUGCAAGGAGAACUCUCAGGGUUAUCUUAAAUAGUUCUAAUGUAGAUAAUGUUUCUCAUUCUUUCUUCCAUGUGCCAGCAAAUGGCUCUGUGUGUCUGUCCUGUCAGCUCAGUGCAGUAAGCCACACUCUGAAGCCCCGUGCAUCUUGUCAAGCCAAAAUUAGCAGUCGAAACAAACCUUGCAAAGCAUAGGGUAUAAGCUGAUCACAAAAAGAGAAAUAUGUUCUUGUGGUGUGAUUUUCUUGGUUGGGGAGCUGUUUGGAUUUGCAGACCCAAAACUUAAUGGUGGUGGGAUGAAUAUAGCAGGGAAAAAUUCUUGUACGUACUUUCUUUACAUCUUUUUAAUGAGUGGAUGAAGCAACCCUGAAAGAGCCAAAUAUUAGCACAGAUUGGAGAUAGGAAUCCUGAGGGCAGGUGCCUAGCAGGAUUCCCCACACAGUUCUGCCAAGACUCUUCAGUCCUGACCUGAAAUGGCCCUUUCCUGGCACAGAGGCAUAACUCUGCCUGUACUUUGUGCUCACUUUCAGCAGCCUUUGGCAUCCUUUCAUCAGCUCAGGAGCGCCCUGUCAAAAGUCCUUGCUCCUACUUGGCAGGAUGGUGCACCCACCAAGCCACCGAGCUCUGAUGAAGCCUCAAUCCUUCAUCUUCUGAUAGAUACAGGAUAAGAACUCCUCCUGUAACCUCCUUUGCUAUUACAUAUCUAUAUGAGCAUGGACAGCUUCUCCUUAUCCAGGAUGGCUGAAGACAGUACUCAUAGGAAAAAGGAAGAUGGGUUAAAUCACUCAGGACUGACUGAAGCCAGCUAUGAUUUCUGGUCUCCCAGGAUGAAAGUUGCUCACAUGACCACCUUGGAGAACACUUUAGUGGGAGGAUUUUGCAAACACUUGGCAUUGACUCCACUCUGCUCCUCUUAAGUCUGUGGGAUCACAGCCCUUGUAGGAGCAGAGCCUUACUUUUAUGAAGUGUUUCAAUAUUUUUGACUGAUGAAUUUGCACAUUAUAUAUGUGAAGCCAUAUGUGACUCUGUCGGAACUGCUCCAGUUCCCUAUCCCUUGCAAUGUGUUGUGCUGCUUUUAGCACACAGAAACAUACGCCUCCUAUCACUCAUAUUGACAUGCUGUCGGUUUGAUUGGACCCUUUCUCGACCGCUGGAGUCUGGAGCAUUGCUGCUCAAGACAACGGGUUACUCUGAUUUUUAUCUGAGUUGACUUUUUCUUAAAACGAUUAAUA